rnacentral:tRNA from 1 species
ACGCUCAUCGUUCAAUGGAUAGGACAGUGGUCUUCUAAACCAUCAAUAUAGGUUCAAAUCCUAUUGGGCGUA